rnacentral:rRNA from 1 species
AGCGAACGCUGGCGGCAGGCCUAACACAUGCAAGUCGAACGGAUCCUUCGGGAUUAGUGGCGGACGGGUGAGUAACACGUGGGAACGUGCCUUUUGGUUCGGAACAACUCAGGGAAACUUGAGCUAAUACCGGAUGUGCCCUUCGGGGGAAAGAUUUAUCGCCAUUAGAGCGGCCCGCGUCUGAUUAGCUUGUUGGUGAGGUAAAGGCUCACCAAGGCUACGAUCAGUAGCUGGUUGUGAAGGAUGACCAGCCAAACUGGGACUUGGACGCGGCCCAGGCUCCUACGGGAGGCAGCAGUGGGGAAUCUUGCGCAAUGGGCGAAAGCCUGACGCAGGCAUGCCGCGUGAAUGAUGGAGGUCUUAGGAUUGUAAAAUUCUUUCACCGGGGACGAUAAUGACGGUACCCGGAGAAGAAGCUCCGGCUAACUUCGUGCCAGCCGCCGCGGUAACAC